AAAAGUAAACCUCCAGGCUCCAGCCACACUCACGAACUCAAACCCUCCAUCUUUCAUUAAAAAAAAGAAAAGAAAAAAGGAGCACCACUCAACCCUCCAAUAACUCACGAACUCGAAACCGCUCAACUUCCAGCAAUACUCGCGAACUCAAACCCUCCAUCAACACUCUAGAAAUCAAUAUCCUCCAUCAACAAAUUGAGGAAUCACGAAAUCGCAGGCUAAAGGUUCAUAGACAAUAACUCAAGCAACCGCCAGAAGCCGUCGAAUCAGGCAGUAGCGAACCCUAUAAAAACCUUCUUCGUUAUUAUAUGUGGUUAAGUGUCCUCGUCCUCAACAAGUCCGACCAUUAUGUCAUGAAGUAUAUGGAUAAAAUAGUAUCAAUUGUAUCGAAAAAGGAACGUGAUUUCAAAGUUCACUCUGGAGGCAUAUUCUCAAGAAGUUAUCAAUGAUGUUCGUGAAAGAUGGUGUAGAUUUUUCAUUGAUAAUUUUCUGUAGUUAAUUAAUUUCAGUUUGAUACUUAGUGGACAUAAACUUCUUAAAUUCGUGUCCAGCAUUUUCUAACAUGUAAAAAUACACAAGUAUUAUGUAUGACUUUUAUCAAUUUUGGUGAUUACAUUUUAUUGGCUUGAA